CUUCUUUAUUCUGUUCCAAUUGCUACAAAAUUGGCUUGAUUUUCUAUUUCGUUGUUGAUGAUUUUAUUGUUUGCAUGGAUGUUGUUUCUGGUUGAGAUUUAUGUGGUUAAUGUUGCAGAAAUAGGAAAGGAAGAUGAAGUAUCGGGAAAUAUUGGUUCUGGUUCUAUGUUUGCUUGGGUUUGUUCUUGGAGCGGUGUUUGAUACAGUAGUCGGGGAAAUUGCAAUUAUUACGAACUGAACCAAGUUCCACAACAGGGCUGAUCAUAGUUGCGCCAGUUGAAGAUUCAAAAUCCACGUGUUGGGUGUUCUUGAUAUUGCUUGUAGAAUGAUUGAAGUCAUAUCAAACUGAAAGCUAAGCGAUUGUGUAGAAAGUCAGACGAUCGUUGAAGGUUUGAGAAGGCGUUUAAGAUUUCUUAUUUAAGUUUUGUAUUAGGAUCUUGUUUCAUGUACCGUUGUAGAAUAUAUAAAAAUAAUAUAAGAUUCCAUUUUGUGUAUACAAAUGUAAAAGACAAAUAUUAUAGUUUCUAAAAUAAUAUUAAUUUUAUUGAUUUA